UACGUAGGGCGCAAGCGUUAUCCGGAAUUAUUGGGCGUAAAGAGCGCGUAGGCGGUCCGGUAAGUCGGUUGUGAAAGUCGGGGGCUCAACCCUCGGAUGCCGAUCGAUACUGCCGGGCUAGAGUCCGGAAGAGGCGAGUGGAAUUCCUGGUGUAGCGGUGAAAUGCGCAGAUAUCAGGAGGAACACCAAUUGCGAAGGCAGCUCGCUGGGACGUUACUGACGCUGAGACGCGAAAGCGUGGGGAGCAAACAGG
rnacentral:rRNA from 1 species